GUGGGGAGCAAACUGGAUUAGAGACCCAGGUAGUCCACGCCCUAAACGAUGUGUGACUUUCUAGGACCUAUACAAAGAGUAUAGAGCGAACUAGAAAAAGCUAACGCGAUCACACCGCCUGGGGAGUACGGCCGCAAGGCUGAAACUCAAAGGAAUUGACGGGAGCUUACACAAACAGUGGAGCAUGUGGUUUAAUUCGACAUAACGCGCAGAACCUUACCUCCCCUUGACAUUUCUUGAAUGGAAAGCAGAAAUGUUUUUCAAUAAAAUCCUGAAACAGGUGCUGCAUGGCUGUCGUCAGCUCGUGUCGUGAGAUGUUAGAUUAAGUUCGUUAACGAGCGCAACCCUUGUAUUAUGUCAUUAACGGUGCAUAAUAGACAGUCUACUAAAGGUAGAAGGAAGGUGAGGAUGACGUCAAGUCCGCAUGGCCCUUAUGGGGAGGGCUACACAUGUGCUACAAUGAUGCGCACAAAAAGAUGCAAAAGAGUAAUCUGGAGCAAAACUAUAAAUCGCAUCCCAGUACGGAUUGAGCUCUGCAACUCGAGCUCAUGAAGCAGGAAUUGUUAGUAAUCGAAGAUCAGAACGCUUCGGUGAAUAAGUACCUAAGCUUUGUACAUACCGCCCGUCACACUUUAAGAGAGGGGAUUUUCUGAAGAACCCAGAAGUAAACACGUAAUGAAUUCCUCUGAAUCACGAAGAAAUGAAUGUUUAUGAAAGGAUCGAAGUUGGUCAACUUGAUCGAAGUG
rnacentral:rRNA from 1 species